rnacentral:rRNA from 1 species
UCGAGAAUCCUCGACAAUGGACGCAAGUCUGAUCGGGCGACGCCGCGUGUAGGAUGAAGGCCUUCGGGUUGUAAACUACUGUCACGGUACAGGAAGGCUCCCGCGAUAAUAUCAAGGGGGAUUGACCAUACCGAGAGGAAGCCACGGCUAACUCUGUGCCAGCAGCCGCGGUAAGACAGAGGUGGCAAGCGUUGUUCGGAAUUACUGGGCAUAAAGGGCGCGUAGGUGGUCAGAUAUGUCAGGGGUGAAAUCCCUCGGCCUAACCGAGGAAUUGCCUCUGAAACCAUCUGACUGGAGUGCAGGAGAGGAGAGUGGAACUCGAGGUGGAGCGGUGAAAUGCGUAGAUAUCUCGGGGAACGCCGGUGGCGAAAGCGGCUCUCUGGACUGUAACUGACACUGAGGCGCGAAAGCCAGGGGAGCAAACGGG